UACGGGGGGGCAAGCGUUGUUCGGAAUUACUGGGCGUAAAGGGCGCGUAGGCGGCCUUCUAAGUCGGACGUGAAAUCCCUCGGCUUAACCGAGGAACUGCGUCCGAUACUGAAGGCUUGAAUCCGGGAGAGGGAUGUGGAAUUCCAGGUGUAGCGGUGAAAUGCGUAGAUAUCUGGAGGAACACCGGUGGCGAAGGCGGCAUCCUGGACCGGCAUUGACGCUGAGGCGCGAAAGCUAGGGAGCAAACGGG
rnacentral:rRNA from 1 species